rnacentral:piRNA from 1 species
UAUAUACAAAAUUCGAGGUGCAUCA